UGCAACGCAGAAAGACCCAGUCCAAAUGUCAACAGUGCCGAAGAUGAGAAUCUCAGGUCUAGAGAAACUGGAAAAGAUGGAGAAGGGAGAAAAUGGAGGGCACUGCCUACUUAUGUCCAUCUGGUAUCUCCCACCUAAGAAACAACAUAGCAACUUUUGUCUUUUUUUAUGCUGAUUCUCUUCUAUUGAUUACGCUUUAUUAUUCCUGAAGACUUGGGUGUGUGACUUAAAUAACCCCGCGUUAGACACAAGCACAACAGAAUAAAUGAAAACUGGAGGGCAAAUUCUAACAUGUACCGUAACUAUAAGAACAUUCUAAGGCUUGAAAAAGUCUUCAGAUCCUUGGUUUAAUUUAAUCGACAAUGCAUUCAUCUGCAUAUGGCAUUCAGCAGCAAAAUAAACUUUUUUUCCUGCGUCUUUUGUUUCCAAAUCAAUGGGGAACAAAGGAUAUCCUGGUUCCAUUCAGGCAGUUUCAAUGAUUCUCAAACGUGGGAGUAAUAGUCGAGCCAUUUAAAAUACAGUGAUGAGAAAGCAUCCUUAGUAACCUUGUAAACAUGCUAUGAAAGUACAAGGGAACCUUUAAGAAGAAUAUCCAAGUGUCCUUUUUAUAUAAUAGCCCUUUGUACUAUGAAAUGUUCAGAGGUCCACAAAAUGGAAUUGAACAGAACAGACUAGAAGAAUGCAAUUUCCAAGUUUUCUAGUAAUGGUGCUGUUAAAACAUUAUUUUUGUUUCUUAACACUCAGAAAAUUAUGUUUCCUCACCCCAGGAUCAGCUCUACUCACAGAAAGGACUUUGGACCCGUAUUUAACCAACCGUCAGAAGGGAUUCAAAAGGAGGCUAAUUGAACACUGAGGUUUUUGAAGCUCUCAAACGAUGACCCAAGUGUUUUCUUGAAAACAGCAGCAGCUUGGCAGGAAGCAGGAAUUAGACAAGAGAAUUGAUGGAAACCUGCCCUCCAAAUGGGAAGAAAAACUUCCAAUAACAAACCGUGAGGUUUGAAAUCACUGCGUUAGUUAUACUAUUCAUGAUUCAAAUGGCCACCAGCCUUAUUACGUGGCAUUUUCUCCUGCUUCUGAGCCGCCCCAAGACACGCACUUUAGUAAGGAUGACCCCCCCUUUCUGAGGAAAGGGAGCCGCUCUUUGUCUCCCCACUCUGCCCCCCCCUUCUAUCUGCAUUCUCUCUCUCUGUUCUAGCUGCAUGUUUUGCAAUCCCCUCCAGUGUUCCAAAGGCCAAUGAAGUCAGUCUCCCAUAAGGGGACUCAGCCAAGUACAUUCACUGCUCAACUGUAUUUUUCUUUCUUAGCCCUUUCACCUACUGAUUUCAAAUUUCUCUUUUAAUAGGCCAGCUAUGGCAGACCUCAACCGAAUAAGUUAUGAAAAGGGAAGCUAGGAAGCCACACAGGCACGCAUUUCCCUUAUGCAACAUCAGAUGAGAAAGCAAUCGCUUUUCCACUGCACGGGAAACAGAGAAACAGGAAACCCAGAGGCAACGACUUGCUUGGAGGCCUCCAAGAAUUCAACAAUUACGUUCCACAAACUAUGUCAAAUACCUACUAAGUGCUGGGCACUAUGAUACAAAAAGGAGUAGUCAUCAGUGCUGGCUGGCUCCAAAUGAAGACUAGACACACACGUAAAGGACCAGAAAAGCAGGGACACCAUUACAACCCCUCUUGCCCACCAAAGGAGACAACCAGAAAAUUCAGAAAAGCUAUUUUUAACAUUGCCGUGAGAAGAACAUGCCUGUUCAUUCGAGGAGGAUGAGAGACACCUACAGCUGACCCUGAUGCAACCCACACCACCUUGAAGACCAGCCCAGUCUAGAUCAUCUGAAAACCAGCCAACUUACAGAUACUUUUCCCCCCAAUUUUAUAACCUUCAAGGCCUACCAACCUGGAACCAGCUCUGAUUAAGCAUCUAUUAUAGGAGCCAGGCAUAUCUAGAUGCUAGAAAUACAACACUGAAUGGAAAAGACACUGGUGGUUUUAAAAUGUCUACAAGAAAAGAAUCUGAAAAAGAAUAUAUAUAUGUCUAACUGAAUCACUUUGCUGUACACCUGAAACACUGUAAAUCAACCGUACUUCAAUAAAAAAAAUUUUUUAGGUAUAAACAUAUUGGGGGAAAAUAUUCUGUGACACUCCCCCUUCAGAAGGCAGAAGCCUUCCCUUGGAGCUUAGGCUGGACCUCAUGACUUGUUUCUAAGGAGUAGAAUAUUGUGCAGAUGACACUGAGCAACAUCCAAGGCUUCUCAGAAGACACUAUGGUUUCCUCCUUGCUCUUUCCCUCUGGAAGGCAACGGCCAUGUCCUGAGAACAUUCAAGCAGCAUUAUGGAAAAGUCCACAUGGGGAGGAACUGAGGCCUCCAGCCAGCAGCCCUGUGAGCUCCAUCUGAGAAGCAGAUCCUCCAACUCCAGUCAAGCCUUUAGAUGCUGGCGGCCUCGACCAACAUCCUGACUAUAUCGUGACUACUUACAAGAAACCUGAGCCAGAGCCACCUGUCCAGACUGCUCUCAGUUAUUCCUGACCUCAGAAAUGGUGUGAGAUAAGAAAUGUUUGUUAUUUUCAGCUGCUGAGUUUUAGGGUAGUUUGUUACACAGCAAGAGAUAAAUAAUACACCACCAAAAGUCCUGUUUUCAUGAUUCUUACAUUCUGAUGUUUGUUUAGGGGCAAUGAAUAAAUGUUUUUUGAGGAAAUGAUGAAUGACAGUAAAUCAAAUAAAUGUAUCAGA